ensembl:lncRNA
GCUGGGAGCAAACCAACAACAACUGCCUUGGCAACAACAACACACUGUAUGGACACAAGAGACUUCCAACUGAGACGUCCCACUGCAUGCACUUCCAAACUCUGCCCAUGUAGUGUUAAGUGCCAGAUUCGGAUGAAAUCAUCAGAGCAAAAUGUGUCUCCAAGACAAUGUCCAUUGCAGUGAACAACGAGCGGUACAAUGUAGGAGACUAUCUGGUUAUUGACACUCAUUCAGAAGAGAUUCAUGUGUUCAUGGAAGUGUGUGGAAUAUACAGAUUCCUUGGUGCUGGUGUGGUAAAGUACUGCUACCAGCCAGUUUCAACAACCAUCACCACGCAGACAUGGUUCAACACAGUCAACAAUGGUUUCUAUAAGUCCUGUUGAGGAGAUGGAUUUCCAUGGGUUAGAUGGAUACAGGGACCCAGAGGGAAGAGUGUCCAUUCCAUUCUGCCACUGGUUUGCGGGUAUUUUUCCCCACAGAACACCAAAUUGAUGGAGAGACAUUGAUGUCAUUGGACCAAAGAAUAGUGGAGCAAAUUGUUUCCCAGCAAACAGCCCAGCAAAUGACCCAGCAGCAUCUGUCCAGCACAAUGACCCAGCAUCUGUCCAGCAAAAUGACCCGCCAUCUGUCCAGCACAAUGACCCAGCAGCAUCUGUCCAGCAAAAUGACUCAGCAUCUGUCCAGCAAAAUGACUCACCAUCUGUCCAGCACAAUGACCCAGCAGCAUCUGUCCAGCAAAAUGACCCAGUGUAACAGUAUAACUUUAGACCGUCCCCUCGCCCAUACCCAGGCGCGAACCAGGGACCCUCUGCACACAUCAACAACAGUCACCCACGAAGCAUCGUUACCCAUCGCUCCACAAAAGCCGCAGCCCUUGCAGAGCAAGGGGAACUACUACUUCAAGGUCUCAGAGCAAGUGACGUCACCGAUUGAAACACUAUUUAGCACGAACACCGCUAACUAGCUAGCCAUUUCACAUCUGUUACAUCAGCAUCUGUCCAGCAAAAUGACCCAGGAUCUGCCCAGCAAAAUCACCCAUUAAUUAGCCUUCAGCAUGAUAUAUCAACUGGCCAGCAACAGGAAACAUAAUUCAGCCCGAAUCUGGCCAUCUGGGCUUUUAGACUUCCAGAAUUUCCAGACGUAUUAAAAGAAAAACCUGAAAGAAAAUGUGACGAUCUCCGUUGCCCUGCGGUUCUCUCGAAGUGGAGGUCUCAGAUUGGGCAGGUGUUGUUUGCCUUCAUGUGUACCUAUACUUGGAGUCAUGGAACGGCAUGAUAAAGAAUAAAUACAAGUACAGGAAAUGCAGAAGAAGUUUAGGGGGCAAGGGAAAAAAUAAACCCAGAUGACAUCAAAAAUGAAGACCUGACCAAAAUAGCCAAGAUUGAGAUUGGUGAGAAUUCCUUCAGUCAAGAGUUACAUGUUGAACAGAUGCAGGUGGAAUGCCAAGAAAAGAGACCGAACAUCAGUUCCCUACAAGACAAAACGAAAAGGACUGAAAAAUAACGUUUUUAUGAAACAAGGCACCAAGGACAUCUUAAAACUGUACCCAGCACUCCAUUUGUCAGCCAUUGUCUGAAGGUCACUGCAGCCAUUUUGCUCCUCCCCUACCUGUUCAAAGAAGAUCCAAGUGGGUACGUCACAGGUGAGGGGAAUACCUUUACGGAUGAGAGCCACAUUCAACUCUUCCUGGAUGGAGAGGAGCUACUCAUUAAAGAGCUGGAGGACAUCUCCAUGGAUUGGGAGUGGCAAUGGGGGUCCAUUUCCUUUUUAAUAUUGAGUAUGCAGCAUCAUUAAAAAGCACUACGCUGUUCAUUCAGAUGUGUUCUGGGAAUUGAUGAGGGAGAUAAAUUACCAACAAAUGUAGGAAUGGCUAACUUUUUGCUGUAGAGAUGGAUAAGGGAGACCAGAGAUUUCUGGGACGUCUGCAAGUGAGAUUUCUGGGACGUUUAAAGUCAAUAAAAUGAAUUUGUGACUUUACAAGUUCACCACUCAAUGUUAUUUGUAUUAUUAUUGUUCAUAGUAUUAUUAUUGUUAUUGUUCAUAAUGGAAUACAUGGGUCAUAAAAGUUUCCUACAGGAACCUUAACGCCCUAAAAGGUUAUUUGAGGAACCUUUUUAAAAGAUUCCUCAGGGAAAAGGUUCCUGAAAGCAAAGAGAGUUCCAAACCUCUCUGACAAUGGGCGAAUUCGAUUAUAGACCGGACACCGGUCUGUGGCCUGUACAUGUUAUCAACAAGGCAGCAUGUUGCAUCAUCCAGAAACGCACAUCUCCUUUCUACAAAAUACAUGUUCGAUUUGUUUUUUUUGGGGGGGGGUUGCGCCACGGGAUUUUCUUUCAGGAGUAGAGGUUUCUCCUCCGUGUGUUGCGAUUAUUCCCUGUGUGUGGCGACUUCGUUUGGGCGUGUUCUUCCACCUGUUGUUGUUGAGUUGGGACUUCUAAUAAACGAUUGUGCUACUGGGGCUUCCUUGCUCUCCUGCUCAUGAGUCC